rnacentral:rRNA from 1 species
GACGAACGCUGGCGGCGCGCUUAACACAUGCAAGUCGAGCGAGAACCAGGGCUUCGGCCCUGGGGACAGCGGCGAACGGGUGAGUAACACGUGGGUAAUCUGCCCUCGGCACCGGAAUAGCCCGGGGAAACCCGGAUUAAUGCCGGAUGGCCCCUUCACCUCGCGAGGUGUCGGGAAAAGGUAGCUUCGGCCUCUGGCCGAGGAUGAGCCCGCGGGGGAUUAGCUUGUUGGCGGGGCAACGGCCCACCAAGGCGACGAUCCGUAGCUGGUCUGAGAGGACGAUCAGCCACACUGGGACUGAGACACGGCCCAGACUCCUACGGGAGGCAGCAGUGGGGAAUCUUGCGCAAUGGGCGAAAGCCUGACGCAGCGACGCCGCGUGAGGGAAGACGGCCUUCGGGUUGUAAACCUCUUUCAGGAGGGACGAAGCUACUCGGGUGAAUAGCCCAGAGGGUGACGGUACCUCCAGAAGAAGCCCCGGCUAACUACGUGCCAGCAGCCGCCGUAAAAC